rnacentral:rRNA from 1 species
GACGAACGCUGGCGGCGUGCUUAACACAUGCAAGUCGAACGAAGUGGCGAACGGGUGAGUAACGCGUAAUCAACCUGCCCUUCAGAGGGGGACAACAGUUGGAAACGACUGCUAAUACCGCAUACUGAAGGAGGGGAUUGCGUUGGAUUCGCUGGUUGGAGGGGUAACGGCCCAACCAGGCGGAGAUCACUAGCCGGGCCUGGAGGGUUAACGGCCACAAUGGGAAUUGGACACGGCCCCGACUCCCACGGGAGGCAAGAGUGGGGGAUCUUCGGCAAUGGGGGGAAAGCUGACUGAGCAACGCCGGGUGGUAUAUGGCGGCCCUCGGGGUGGUAAGCUAUGUUAAGCGGGAAGCGUUACCGGAAUAGAAAGCCACGGCUAACUACGUGCCAGCAGCCGCGGUAAUAC